rnacentral:rRNA from 1 species
UACGUAGGGUCCGAGCGUUGUCCGGAAUUACUGGGCGUAAAGAGCUCGUAGGUGGUUUGUCGCGUUGUUCGUGAAAACUCACAGCUUAACUGGGGGCGUGCGGGCGAUACGGGGCAGACUGGAGUACUGCAGGGGAGACUGGAAUUCCUGGUGUAGCGGUGGAAUGCGCAGAUAUCAGGAGGAACACCGGUGGCGAAGGCGGGUCUCUGGGCAGUAACUGACGCUGAGGAGCGAAAGCGUGGGGAGCGAACAGG